UGGCACGACUCUCGGCAAUGGAUAUCUCGGCUCUCGCAUCGAUGAAGAGCGCAGCGAAAUGCGAUACGUGGUGCGAAUUGCAGAAUCCCGUGAACCAUCGAGUCUUUGAACGCAAGUUGCGCCCGAGGCCAACCGGCCAAGGGCACGUCUGCCUGGGCGUCAA
rnacentral:rRNA from 1 species